rnacentral:rRNA from 1 species
UCGGAAUUACUGGGCGUAAAGAGUGUGUAGGCGGCGUUCCAAGUCUGGGGGGAAAUCUCCCGGCUUAACUGGGAGGGUGCGCCGGAAACUGGAAUGCUCGAGGGUGGGAGAGGUAAGCGGAAUUCCUGGUGUAGCGGUGAAAUGCGUAGAUAUCAGGAGGAACACCUGUGGUGUAGACGGCUUUCUGGACCGUAGCUGACGCUGAGACACGAAAGCGUGGGUAGCAAACAGG